rnacentral:rRNA from 1 species
UACGUAGGGGGCAAGCGUUAUCCGGAAUUAUUGGGCGUAAAGGGUGCGUAGGCGGCAUGAUAAGUUAUUGGCGGCAAAUCGAGGCUCAACCUCGUGGAAACUGAUAAUACUGUCUUGCUUGAGUGCAGAAGAGGUUAACGGAACUCCAUGUGGAGCGGUAAAAUGUGUAGAUAUAUGGAAGAACAUCAAUAACGGCGAAGGCAGUUAACUAUUCUGUUACUGACGUUGAGGCACGAAAGCGUGGGGAGCAAAACGG